UCGUAGUCCGGAUUGGAGUCUGCAACUCGACUCCAUGAAGUCGGAAUCGCUAGUAAUCGUGGAUCAGAAUGCCACGGUGAAUACGUUCCCGGGCCUUGUACACACCGCCCGUCACACCAUGGGAGUGGGUUGCAAAAGAAGUAGGUAGCUUAACCUUCGGGAGGGCGCUUACCACUUUGUGAUUCAUGACUGGGGUGAAGUCGUAACAAGGUAACCGUAGGGGAACCUGCGGUUGGAUCACCUCCUUACUUUAAAGAAGC
rnacentral:rRNA from 1 species